GACGAACGCUGGCGGCGUGCCUAAUACAUGCAAGUCGAGCGCAGGAAGCCAUCUGAACCCUUCGGGGGGACGACGGUGGAAUGAGCGGCGGACGGGUGAGUAACACGUAAAGAACCUGCCCAUAGGUCUGGGAUAACCACGAGAAAUCGGGGCUAAUACCGGAUGUGUCAUCGGACCGCAUGGGCCGCUGAUGAAAGGCGCUCCGGCGUCGCCCAUGGAUGGCUUUGCGGUGCAUUAGCUAGUUGGUGGGGUAACGGCCCACCAAGGCGACGAUGCAUAGCCGACCUGAGAGGGUGAUCGGCCACACUGGGACUGAGACACGGCCCAGACUCCUACGGGAGGCAGCAGUAGGGAAUCUUCCACAAUGGACGAAAGUCUGAUGGAGCAACGCCGCGUGAACGAUGAAGGCUUUCGGGUCGUAAAGUUCUGUUGUAAGGGAAGAACAAGUGCCGCAGGCAAUGGCGGCACCUUGACGGUACCUUGCGAGAAAGCCACGGCUAACUACGUGCCAGCCGCCGCGGUAA
rnacentral:rRNA from 1 species